rnacentral:rRNA from 1 species
CACGUAGGCGGACUGGAAAGUUGGAGGUGAAAUCCCAGGGCUCAACCUUGGAACUGCCUUCAAAACUAUCAGUCUGGAGUUCGAGAGAGGUGAGUGGAAUUCCGAGUGUAGAGGUGAAAUUCGUAGAUAUUCGGAGGAGCACCAGUGGCGAAGGCGGCUCACUGGCUCGAUACUGACGCUGAGGUGCGAAAGCGUGGGAGCAAACA